UAGAAGACUAGUGUUAUUCAUGUGUAAUCGGUUUAAAGGGUACCUAGACGGUAAAUCAAGCCUAUAAAAAAUAUAAAGGAAGGGACUAAUUUCCUAGAGUUACUUAUGAGGGGGUAUUAAAGUACUACUGGUGUAGAGAUGAAAUUCUGUCAUACCAGCAAAACGACGGCACAGGUAUAGGCGAAAGCAUCCCCUUAUGUGAUAACUGACGUUGAGGGACGAAGGCUUUGUGUAGCGACCAGGAUUAGAUACCCCAGUAGUCAAAGCAGAAAAUGAUGAAUGUCAUAGAUUAGAUAUAUAAGUUUAUUCUAUAAAUGAAAGUGUAAGCAUUCCACCUCAAGAGUAAUUUGGCAACAUUGGAACUGAAAUCAUUAGACCGUUUCUGAAACCAGUAGUGAAGUAUGUUGUUUAAUUUGAUGGCCCGCAAAAAACCUUACCACAAUUUGAAUAUUUAUAUCUUUUAUUGUUUUUCUUCUGAUUUUUCUUCUGAUUUUACUUCUGAUUUUACUUCAAAUGAAGUAAAAGAAAGAAGUAAAAGAAAGAAGAAAAAUAAAAAGAGGCAAUAAGAUAUAUUUACAAGCGUUGCACGGCUGUCUUCAGUUAAUGUCGCGAGACUCUGGUUAGUUCCAUAAAAUUAACGUAAACCCUUACUUUAUUUUUAUAUAGAGU
rnacentral:rRNA from 1 species